rnacentral:rRNA from 1 species
AGUGAACGCUGGCGGUAGGCCUAACACAUGCAAGUCGAACGGCAGCACAGUAAGAGUUUGCUCUUACGGGUGGCGAGUGGCGGACGGGUGAGGAAUACAUCGGAAUCUACUUUUUCGUGGGGGAUAACGUAGGGAAACUUACGCUAAUACCGCAUACGACCUACGGGUGAAAGCAGGGGAUCUUCGGACCUUGCGCGAUUGAAUGAGCCGAUGUCGGAUUAGCUAGUUGGCGGGGUAAAGGCCCACCAAGGCGACGAUCCGUAGCUGGUCUGAGAGGAUGAUCGGCCACACUGGAGCUGGGACACGGUCCAGACUCCUACGGGAGGGAGCAGUGGGGAAUGUUGGACAAUGGGCGCAAGCCUGAUCCAGCCAGACCGCGUGGGUGAAGGAGGCCUUGGGGUUGUGAAGCCCUUUUGUUGGGAAAGAAAAGCAGCAGGUUAAUACCCCGCUGUUCUGACGGUACCCAAAGAAUAAGCACCGGCUAACUUCGUG